ensembl:lncRNA
CCAUCCAGGUGGGGGUUAUGUCAGUAAGUCAGGUGAUGUCCUUCCCUCUAACCUCUCCCUUCCAGGUGGGGGUAAUGUCAGUAAGUCAGGUGAUGUCCUUCCCUCUCCCAUCCAGGUGGGGGUAAUGUCAGUAAGUCAGGUGAUGUCCUUCCCUCUAACCUCUCCCAUCCAGGUGGGGGUAACAGUCAGUAAGUCAGGUGAUGUUCUUCCCUCUAACCUCUACCAUCCAGGUGGGGUUAACAGUCAGUAAGUCAGGUGAUGUCCUUCCCUCUCCCAUCCAGGUGGGGUUAACAGUCAGUUAGUCAGGUGUGGUCCUUCCCUCUAACCUCUCCCAUCCAGGUGGGGGUAAUAUCAGUAAGUCAGGUGAUGUCCUUCCCUCUAACCUCUCCCAUCCAGGUGGGGUUAACAGUCAGUAAGUCAGGUGAUGUUCUUCCCUCUAACCUCUACCAUCCAGGUGGGGUUAACAGUCAG